UAGCGGCGAGCGAACGGGGAGGAGCCCAGAGCCUGAAUCAGUGUGUGUGUUAGUGGAAGCGUCUGGAAAGGCGCGCGAUACAGGGUGACAGCCCCGUACACAAAAAUGCACAUGCUGUGAGCUCGAUGAGUAGGGCGGGACACGUGGUAUCCUGUCUGAAUAUGGGGGGACCAUCCUCCAAGGCUAAAUACUCCUGACUGACCGAUAGUGAACCAGUACCGUGAGGGAAAGGCGAAAAGAACCCCGGCGAGGGGAGUGAAAAAGAACCUGAAACCGUGUACGUACAAGCAGUGGGAGCACAGAGCAAUCUGUGUGACUGCGUACCUUUUGUAUAAUGGGUCAGCGACUUAUAUUCUGUAGCAAGGUUAACCGAAUAGGGGAGCCGAAGGGAAACCGAGUCUUAACCGGGCGUUAAGUUGCAGGGUAUAGACCCGAAACCCGGUGAUCUAGCCAUGGGCAGGUUGAAGGUUGGGUAACACUAACUGGAGGACCGAACCGACUAAUGUUGAAAAAUUAGCGGAUGACUUGUGGCUGGGGGUGAAAGGCCAAUCAAACCGGGAGAUAGCUGGUUCUCCCCGAAAGCUAUUUAGGUAGCGCCUCGUGAAUUCAUCUCCGGGGGUAGAGCACUGUUUCGGCAAGGGGGUCAUCCCGACUUACCAACCCGAUGCAAACUGCGAAUACCGGAGAAUGUUAUCACGGGAGACACACGGCGGGUGCUAACGUCCGUCGUGAAGAGGGAAACAACCCAGACCGCCAGCUAAGGUCCCAAAGUCAUGGUUAAGUGGGAAACGAUGUGGGAAGGCCCAGACAGCCAGGAUGUUGGCUUAGAAGCAGCCAUCAUUUAAAGAAAGCGUAAUAGCUCACUGGUCGAGUCGGCCUGCGCGGAAGAUGUAACGGGGCUAAACCAUGCACCGAAGCUGCGGCAGCGACACUGUGUGUUGUUGGGUAGGGGAGCGUUCUGUAAGCCUGUGAAGGUGUGCUGUGAGGCAUGCUGGAGGUAUCAGAAGUGCGAAUGCUGACAUAAGUAACGAUAAAGCGGGUGAAAAGCCCGCUCGCCGGAAGACCAAGGGUUCCUGUCCAACGUUAAUCGGGGCAGGGUGAGUCGACCCCUAAGGCGAGGCCGAAAGGCGUAGUCGAUGGGAAACAGGUUAAUAUUCCUGUACUUGGUGUUACUGCGAAGGGGGGACGGAGAAGGCUAUGUUGGCCGGGCGACGGUUGUCCCGGUUUAAGCGUGUAGGCUGGUUUUCCAGGCAAAUCCGGAAAAUCAAGGCUGAGGCGUGAUGACGAGGCACUACGGUGCUGAAGCAACAAAUGCCCUGCUUCCAGGAAAAGCCUCUAAGCAUCAGGUAACAUCAAAUCGUACCCCAAACCGACACAGGUGGUCAGGUAGAGAAUACCAAGGCGCUUGAGAGAACUCGGGUGAAGGAACUAGGCAAAAUGGUGCCGUAACUUCGGGAGAAGGCACGCUGAUAUGUAGGUGAAGUCCCUCGCGGAUGGAGCUGAAAUCAGUCGAAGAUACCAGCUGGCUGCAACUGUUUAUUAAAAACACAGCACUGUGCAAACACGAAAGUGGACGUAUACGGUGUGACGCCUGCCCGGUGCCGGAAGGUUAAUUGAUGGGGUCAGCGCAAGCGAAGCUCUUGAUCGAAGCCCCGGUAAACGGCGGCCGUAACUAUAACGGUCCUAAGGUAGCGAAAUUCCUUGUCGGGUAAGUUCCGACCUGCACGAAUGGCGUAAUGAUGGCCAGGCUGUCUCCACCCGAGACUCAGUGAAAUUGAACUCGCUGUGAAGAUGCAGUGUACCCGCGGCAAGACGGAAAGACCCCGUGAACCUUUACUAUAGCUUGACACUGAACAUUGAGCCUUGAUGUGUAGGAUAGGUGGGAGGCUUUGAAGUGUGGACGCCAGUCUGCAUGGAGCCGACCUUGAAAUACCACCCUUUAAUGUUUGAUGUUCUAACGUGGACCCGUGAUCCGGGUUGCGGACAGUGUCUGGUGGGUAGUUUGACUGGGGCGGUCUCCUCCUAAAGAGUAACGGAGGAGCACGAAGGUUGGCUAAUCCUGGUCGGACAUCAGGAGGUUAGUGCAAUGGCAUAAGCCAGCUUGACUGCGAGCGUGACGGCGCGAGCAGGUGCGAAAGCAGGUCAUAGUGAUCCGGUGGUUCUGAAUGGAAGGGCCAUCGCUCAACGGAUAAAAGGUACUCCGGGGAUAACAGGCUGAUACCGCCCAAGAGUUCAUAUCGACGGCGGUGUUUGGCACCUCGAUGUCGGCUCAUCACAUCCUGGGGCUGAAGUAGGUCCCAAGGGUAUGGCUGUUCGCCAUUUAAAGUGGUACGCGAGCUGGGUUUAGAACGUCGUGAGACAGUUCGGUCCCUAUCUGCCGUGGGCGCUGGAGAACUGAGGGGGGCUGCUCCUAGUACGAGAGGACCGGAGUGGACGCAUCACUGGUGUUCGGGUUGUCAUGCCAAUGGCACUGCCCGGUAGCUAAAUGCGGAAGAGAUAAGUGCUGAAAGCAUCUAAGCACGAAACUUGCCCCGAGAUGAGUUCUCCCUGACCCUUUAAGGGUCCUGAAGGAACGUUGAAGACGACGACGUUGAUAGGCCGGGUGUGUAAGCGCAGCGAUGCGUUGAGCUAACCGGUACUAAUGAACCGUGAGGCUUAACCUUACAACGCCGAAGGUGUUU
rnacentral:rRNA from 1 species